rnacentral:rRNA from 1 species
UGACGUUAGGAAAGCGAGCGGCGGAUGGGUGAGUAACACGUGGGGAACCUGCCCCAUAGUCUGGGAUACCACUUGGAAACAGGUGCUAAUACCGGAUAAGAAAGCAGAUCGCAUGAUCAGCUUUUAAAAGGCGGCGUAAGCUGUCGCUAUGGGAUGGCCCCGCGGUGCAUUAGCUAGUUGGUAAGGUAAAGGCUUACCAAGGCGAUGAUGCAUAGCCGAGUUGAGAGACUGAUCGGCCACAUUGGGACUGAGACACGGCCCAAACUCC